AUAUGUGAAUCACCUGGUUGAGACAUAUGUAACCCCACUGGUCACUAAGACAUAGAUGUGGUAAGAUGGGCAUCCCUCUACUACCUUACUGCAACAUAUGUAUGCCUUCGGAAGCAGCAUGAUAAGUCAAAGAGGACAGCCUUUCUUGUAAAUGACAGAUGAUCUAUUCAGGGUAUGGGAGUACAUGUGUUCACAUUCUAGAAUCUCCAAGUCAGCUCUUAAGAUACAUUUGUAAUACAAUUUAAGCUAAUUAAGCUUUUAUGAUUAUAGACAGUCAACUGCAUGAUAUUUGCAGUCAAUAUGU
ensembl:misc_RNA Gm22839 predicted gene, 22839